rnacentral:sRNA from 1 species
UCGACUGUAUACUUUUUGUACUUUGAUG